rnacentral:rRNA from 1 species
GAUGAACGCUGGCGGCGUGCUUAACACAUGCAAGUCGAACGGUGAAGCAGAGCUUGCUCUGUGGAUCAGUGGCGAACGGGUGAGUAACACGUGAGCAACCUGCCCCUGACUCUGGGAUAAGCGCUGGAAACGGCGUCUAAUACUGGAUAUGAGCUGCGACCGCAUGGUCAGCAGUUGGAAAGAUUUUUCGGUCUGGGAUGGGCUCACGGCCUAUCAGCUUGUUGGUGAGGUAAUGGCUCACCAAGGCGUCGACGGGUAGCCGGCCUGAGAGGGUGACCGGCCACACUGGGACUGAGAAACGGCCCAGACUCCUACGGGAGGCAGCAGUGGGGAAUAUUGCACAAUGGGCGAAAGCCUGAUGCAGCAACGCCGCGUGAGGGAUGACGGCCUUCGGGUUGUAAACCUCUUUUAGCAGGGAAGAAGCGAAAGUGACGGUACCUGCAGAAAAAGCGCCGGCUAACUACGUG